ACUAGGUAUCAGUGUUCUAGGUAUAAUACAGAAUAUUGUUAUACACUAGGUAUCAGUGUUCUAGGUAUAAUACAGAAUAUUGUUACACACUAGGUAUCAGUGUUCUAGGUAUAAUACAGAAUAUUGUUAUACACUAGGUAUCAGUGUUCUAGGUAUAAUACAGAAUAUUGUUAUACACUAGGUAUCAGUGUUCUAGGUAUAAUACAGAAUAUUGUUACACACUAGGUAUCAGUGUUCUAGGUAUAAUACAGAAUAUUGUUACACACUAGGUAUCAGUGUUCUAGGUAUAAUACAGAAUAUUGUUAUACACUAGGUAUCAGUGUUCUAGGUAUAAUACAGAAUAUUGUUAUACACUAGGUAUCCGUGUUCUAGGUAUAAUACAGAAUAUUGUUAUACACUAGGUAUCGUCGUCAGUGUUCUAGGUAUAAUACAGAAUAUUGUUAUACACUAGGUAUCAGUGUUCUAGGUAUAAUACAGAAUAUUGUUAUACACUAGGUAUCGUUGUCAGUGUUCUAGGUAUAAUACAGAAUAUUGUUAUACACUAGGUAUCAGUGUUCUAGGUAUAAUACAGAAUAUUGUUAUACACUAGGUAUCGUUGUCAGUGUUCUAGGUAUAAUACAGAAUAUUGUUAUACACUAGGUAUCGUUGUCAGUGUUCUAGGUAUAAUACAGAAUAUUGUUAUACACUAGGUAUCGUUGUCAGUGUUCUAGGUAUAAUACAGAAUAUUGUUAUACACUAGGUAUCAGUGUUCUAGGUAUAAUACAGAAUAUUGUUAUACACUAGGUAUCGUUGUCAGUGUUCUAGGUAUAAUACAGAAUAUUGUUAUACACUAGGUAUCAGUGUUCUAGGUAUAAUACAGAAUAU